AGAGUUUGAUCCUUGCUCAGGACGAACGCUGGCGGCGUGCUUAACACAUGCAAGUCGAACGGAAAGGCCCUUCGGGGUACUCGAGUGGCGAACGGGUGAGUAACACGUGGGUGAUCUGCCCUGCACUUUGGGAUAAGCCUGGGAAACUGGGUCUAAUACCGAAUAUGACCACGCUCUUCAUGGGGUGUGGUGGAAAGCUUUUGCGGUGUGGGAUGGGCCCGCGGCCUAUCAGCUUGUUGGUGGGGUAAUGGCCUACCAAGGCGACGACGGGUAGCCGGCCUGAGAGGGUGACCGGCCACACUGGGACUGAGAUACGGCCCAGACUCCUACGGGAGGCAGCAGUGGGGAAUAUUGCACAAUGGGCGCAAGCCUGAUGCAGCGACGCCGCGUGAGGGAUGACGGCCUUCGGGUUGUAAACCUCUUUCACCAGGGACGAAGCGCAAGUGACGGUACCUGGAGAAGAAGCACCGGCCAACUACGUGCCAGCAGCCGCGGUAAUACGUAGGGUGCGAGCGUUGUCCGGAAUUACUGGGCGUAAAGAGCUCGUAGGUGGUUUGUCGCGUUGUUCGUGAAAACUCACAGCUUAACUGUGGGCGUGCGGGCGAUACGGGCAGACUAGAGUACUGCAGGGGAGACUGGAAUUCCUGGUGUAGCGGUGGAAUGCGCAGAUAUCAGGAGGAACACCGGUGGCGAAGGCGGGUCUCUGGGCAGUAACUGACGCUGAGGAGCGAAAGCGUGGGGAGCGAACAAGAUUAGAUACCCUGGUAGUCCACGCCGUAAACGGUGGGUACUAGGUGUGGGUUCCUUCCUUGGGAUCCGUGCCGUAGCUAACGCAUUAAGUACCCCGCCUGGGGAGUACGGCCGCAAGGCUAAAACUCAGAGGAAUUGACGGGGGCCCGCACAAGCGGCGGAGCAUGUGGAUUAAUUCGAUGCAACGCGAAGAACCUUACCUGGGUUUGACAUGCACAGGACGCCGGCAGAGAUGUCGGUUCCCUUGUGGCCUGUGUGCAGGUGGUGCAUGGCUGUCGUCAGUUCGUGUCGUGAGAUGUUGGGUUAAGUCCCGCAACGAGCGCAACCCUUGUCCUAUGUUGCCAGCGGGUUAUGCCGGGGACUCGUAGGAGACUGCCGGGGUCAACUCGGAGGAAGGUGGGGAGGACGUCAAGUCAUCAUGCCCCUUAUGUCCAGGGCUUCACACAUGCUACAAUGGCCGGUACAAAGGGCUGCGAUGCCGUGAGGUGGAGCGAAUCCUUUCAAAGCCGGUCUCAGUUCGGAUCGGGGUGUGCAACUCGACCCCGCGAAGUCGGAGUCGCUAGUAAUCGCAGAUCAGC
rnacentral:rRNA from 1 species